AAGAUCUUGAGGACACUACCAUCAGGACUGAGACACACAAAUAGAUUUAACCAGGAUGUAGUAGUACCACGAUUAUUCCCUUUUUGAUUUCCAACUAAGGGUUUCUCUAUUGCUUCAGGUGCUUCAAUAGCAAGAAGGGCCAAGCUGCCAUCUACAUUGAAGCGACAGACGAGCGAUCUUUUGACAGACAAGCAAUCGAAAUAGAGUACGAUCUCCAGCAACUGCCAAAGAAUACCUAUGGAUACGAUCCAAGCGAAGAAUGUAGACCUUGCUCCAAAGAAGAACUGGCACAUAUUUUCUGUACCAGCGAUUUAGAGCAAUGGAGGGGUUCGAGAUUUGGUAGGCACAAGGUUGGUGAAAAUGCUAAAAUAGUAAUUCAAAUGUUUUGGUGUUUCGUGGCAAAAGAAGAACCAUAUGGCGUGAGAUUUUCGGUUACGUAGCAGAGAGAUAAAUCAGACGGGUGCAUGGCGGUUCGUCGUUUUGUUUGUCGGAUGGAGCUGUGUGUGCAUUGGCUUGACCGAUCCACGGCGCAAGAGCGCCGACGACGGCAUCUCAAGACUUCUAUUUUGUUGUUU